ACUUAUAUAUUUAAAAAUUAGAAUAUUGCGUUGAAGUUGCAAAGGUGGCAAUUUGCCUAUAGGUA
rnacentral:tRNA from 1 species